rnacentral:rRNA from 1 species
AAUCUUCCGCAAUGGACGAAAGUCUGACGGAGCAACGCCGCGUGAGUGAUGAAGGUUUUCGGAUCGUAAAACUCUGUUGUCAGGGAAGAACAAGUAUCGGAGUAACUGCCGAUACCUUGACGGUACCUGACCAGAAAGCCACGGCUAACUACGUGCCAGCAGCCGCGGUAAUACGUAGGUGGCAAGCGUUGUCCGGAAUAAUUGGGCUGAAAGCGCGCGCAGGCGGUCUGUGAAGUAUGAUGUGAAAGCCCCCGGCUAAACCUGGGAGGGUCAUUGGAAACUGGGAGACGUGAGUGCAGAAGAGAAGAGUGGAAUUCCACGUGUAGCGGUGAAAUGCGUAGAGAUGUGGAGGAACACCAGUGGCGAAGGCGACUCUUUGGUCUGUAACUGACGCUGAGGCGCGAAAGCGUGGGGAGCGAAC